GACGAACGCUGGCGGCGUGCUUAACACAUGCAAGUCGAACGGAAAGGCCCUGCUUUUGUGGGGUGCUCGAGUGGCGAACGGGUGAGUAACAAGUGAGUAACCUGCCCUUGACUUUGGGAUAACUUCAGGAAACUGGGGCUAAUACCGGAUAGGAGCUCCUGCUGCAUGGUGGGGGUUGGAAAGUUUCGGCGGUGGGGAUGGACUCCCGGCUUAUCAGGCUGUUGGUGGGGUAGUGGCUUACCAAGGCUUUGACGGGUUGCCGGCCUGAGAGGGUGACCGGCCACAUUGGGACUGGGAUACGGCCCAGACUCCUACGGGAGGCAGCAGUGGGGAAUAUUGCACAAUGGGCGGAAGCCUGAUGCAGCGACGCCGCGUGCGGGAUGACGGCCUUCGGGUUGUAAACCGCUUUCGCCUGUGACGAAGCGUGAGUGACGGUAAUGGGUAAAGAAGCACCGGCUAACUACGUG
rnacentral:rRNA from 1 species